rnacentral:lncRNA from 1 species
CGGCCGCGGGCCUUCCUCCCGCCACCGCCGCCCGGGGCUGCUGCUCCCCGGCCUCUGGCUGCUGCUGCUCGCCGGGCCGGCCUCGUGCGCCUCAGACGAACUCUCCCUGGAACAGCACAGCCAUUCUUUACGCCCCUCGGAGUUCCAGCCAGAGACAAGCAUCAUGCACAGUGCUGCACAAGUGACCUUAUCAGAGACUGUUCCCAGGUCCCAACCAAGCAUCUCUGUCCUUGUCCUCUCCUCUCCGUCUCCUCCCUCUUUUGAUACGGCCUUUUUAAGCCAGAGACAACAGACUCGAAGUACAGUGGAGCACAGCAUCUUUGAGGCAAAUUAUAUAUCCGUGACGAGUAAUGAGGUGGCUCUUGAUGAGGAGGAGAUGGAUAACUUUCUGCCAGACGCUCACUGGACCUCUUCACGGGUGGUCUCCCCAGUGCGGUAUAUCACACCGAGCCCACUGGACCCACCCCAGGA